rnacentral:rRNA from 1 species
GUGCCAGCCGCCGCGGUAAUACCGGCAGCCCGAGUGAUGGCCGAUCUUAUUGGGCCUAAAGCGUCCGUAGCUGGCUGCGCAAGUCCGUCGGGAAAUCCACUCGCUUAACGAGUGGGCGUCCGGCGGAAACUGAUCGGCUUGGGACCGGAAGACCCGAGGGGUACGUCCGGGGUAGGAGUGAAAUCCUGUAAUCCUGGACGGACCGUCGGUGGCGAAAGCGCCUCGGGAAGACGGAUCCGACGGUGAGGGACGAAAGCUAGGGUCUCGAACCGGAUUAGAAACCCGAGUAGUCC